UGGCGCAUAUGAGGCCAUUGUUUGGCCAGUAUUCGGGCUCCCAGCACGUUACAUUCAAACGUUCGUCGGGCGUGAUGCAGUAGCGUGUGUUCCAUGAGUUGUCACAAGUUCUCCAGGAUGAAGCACCGAAGCGCCGAAUCGCGCGUGUGCUUUUACCAAGUAUGAAAUAAAAUCGCUCACCAGGACGUAGA
rnacentral:lncRNA from 13 species